GGUGGGGACGACGUCAGAUCAUCAUGCCCCUUAUGACCUGGGCAACACACGUGCUACAAUGGGAAGUACAACGAGUCGCAAACCGGCGACGGUAAGCUAAUCUCUUAAAACUUCUCUCAGUUCGGACUGGAGUCUGCAACUCGACUCCACGAAGGCGGAAUCGCUAGUAAUCGCGAAUCAGCAUGUCGCGGUGAAUACGUUCCCGGGUCUUGUACACACCGCCCGUCAAAUCAUGGGAGUCGGAAGUACCCAAAGUCGCUUGGCUAACUUUUAGAGGCCGGUGCCUAAGGUAAAAUCGAUGACUGGGAUUAAGUCGUAACAAGGUAGCCGUAGGAGAACCUGCGGCUGGAUCACCUCCUUUCUAAGGA
rnacentral:rRNA from 1 species